GAAGUAAAAGUCGUAACAAGGUUUCCGUAGGUGAACCUGCGGAAGGAUCAUUACAGUAGUCAUCCGGGUUGCCGCAAGGCCUCCCGGGUAACCUACCACCCUUUGUUUAUUACACUUUGUUGCUUUGGCAGGCCUGCCCUCGGGCUGCUGGCUCCGGCCGGCGAGCGUCUGCCAGAGGACCUAAACUCUGUUUGUCUAUAAUGUCUGAGUACUAUAUAAUAGUUAAAACUUUCAACAACGGAUCUCUUGGUUCUGGCAUCGAUGAAGAACGCAGCGAAAUGCGAUAAGUAAUGUGAAUUGCAGAAUUCAGUGAAUCAUCGAAUCUUUGAACGCACAUUGCGCCCCCUGGUAUUCCGGGGGGCAUGCCUGUCCGAGCGUCAUUACAACCCUCAAGCUCAGCUUGGUGUUGGGCCCCGCCGCCCCGGCGGGCCCUAAAGUCAGUGGCGGUGCCGUCCGGCUCCGAGCGUAGUAAUUCUUCUCGCUCUGGAGGUCCGGUCGUGUGCUUGCCAGCAACCCCCAAUUUUUUUCAGGUUGACCUCGGAUCAGGUAGGGAUACCCGCUGAACUUAAGC
rnacentral:rRNA from 1 species